ensembl:misc_RNA
GCUUUGGAAGACACCCUGAAGUAGAAGCAAAAAGAUUCUUUGCUUAAAGCAUUAAAACCACCACCACAACCAACAGCAACAAAACCAACAAAACCUAGGACAAACGAGUUUUGUGGCAACAACAAUAAAAGCCCAGGUCAG